UUAUGAGUAAUGGCUCAGAUGUCUGGAGCUAAGUAAGAGAUUAUCAAACUCAUUGCAGUAGAGUUAAAAAAGAAAAUGAUCCAGCCCACACAAAUCAGAAUCUGACCUGAUCUUGUCUCCUGGUGGCAUGUAUUGGGGAUAAUCCACCUCGUUGUUACAGUCUUCAUGAAAAUAUUGCUUCUGAUUGGGCAGACUCAGGACAAUGGCCAACCUGAUUAUGAUGUCACUGGUCUGCUCCUUGUCUGUCUACAGGGGUGGAUCAGAUUGCCCAUUGGCUCUUCUGACUGGAAUAGGAGCCGUCAUAAUGCACAGCGGGUGGGUUACCAAGGAGGCGGGCUUAUGAAGAUGAGUUCCAGAAUCUUGUCAAUUGGAGGGUCAGCUGGUCUCUUUUAUUUCUGAUCUGGAUUAGCUCUGGCACAUUUAGCCACUGGUGCUAGUGGUGGGGCUGGCUUUUCCUUCCCCAUCUUCCCCUGGAUUAUUGAGUUUGGGCAGGGCAUUUACAAAGAAGAAAGAAAGAAAGAAAGAAAGAAAGAAAGAAAGAAAGAAAGAAAGAAAGAAAGAAAGAAAGAGGCUUAUUCCUUAAAUGUUGCAGCAUUACAAAAGCUUCCUCUUGCAAGCUGAGCUUCAGAAUGUAGUGGAAAAUUCAGGGCAAAGCUGUGAGGAGGUAUGUGGCAGUGAGAGAAAGGAUCAAGAAGGUGAUUCUUCUGAGCUCCAGGUGAAGAUUGCAGAACUAGAACAAAUGCUGGACACCUUGAAUGAAGACUUCUUCCAGCUCACGGUGCAGAUUUGGACAAUCCAGAAAGAGGAGGACCAGCUGAAUCAGGAGCUCAGAACACAACAGGAGUUGAUCUCCUUUGGUGUAGGUGCAUUUCAUCCCUUCACUGCCUGGGAACAGCCUCGGUAUUUGCAUUGGGGGUACAGACAAACAUAUGGGCACAGCAUGACCCCACACAGAGAGAGUGUUGUAACCCCAACUCUUUACAGCAGCACCAUGAGGACAGACAUUGCAUUUCAGAAGACUUGUCCUGUUCAAACUCAGUUCACACUUAAUGUGGCCUGUAAGCAUGGUUGCUUCCAGGACAACACUUUCUGCAAUAUUAAACACUGUAAAGUUAAGAAACAUGCAGUUGGAUACCUGCCUCCAUGGGAGAUUGGUUCCAAGCCACCCCCAUCCAUGGAUGCUGAAAACGUGGAUGACAGUGAAAACUAUUUUAAUAGCAAAUGCUAUACAUCACACAGCUUCUGA
rnacentral:lncRNA from 1 species